rnacentral:rRNA from 1 species
UACGUAGGGAGCAAGCGUUGUCCGGAAUCAUUGGGCGUAAAGCGCGCGUAGGUGGCUUCGUAAGUCCGUUGUGAAAGUCAAAGGCUCAACCUUUGAAAGCCGAUGGAUACUGCGGAGCUAGAGUACGGAAGAGGCGAGUGGAAUUCCGGGUGUAGCGGUGGAAUGCGUAGAGAUCCGGAAGAACACCGGUGGCGAAGGCGGUCUGCUGGGCAGUAGCUGACACUGAGGCGCGACAGCGUGGGGAGCAAACAGG